AUGAACGCUAGCUACAGGCUUAACACAUGCAAGUCGAGGGGCAGCAUUUUAGUUUGCUUGCAAACUAAAGAUGGCGACCGGCGCACGGGUGAGUAACACGUAUCCAACCUGCCGAUAACUCGGGGAUAGCCUUUCGAAAGAAAGAUUAAUAUCCGAUGGUAUAUUAAAACCGCAUGGUUUUACUAUUAAAGAAUUUCGGUUAUCGAUGGGGAUGCGUUCCAUUAGUUUGUUGGCGGGGUAACGGCCCACCAAGACAACGAUGGAUAGGGGUUCUGAGAGGAAGGUCCCCCACAUUGGAACUGAGACACGGUCCAAACUCCUACGGGAGGCAGCAGUGAGGAAUAUUGGUCAAUGGGCGAGAGCCUGAACCAGCCAAGUAGCGUGAAGGAUGAAGGCUCUAUGGGUCGUAAACUUCUUUUAUAUGGGAAUAAAGUAUUCCACGUGUGGAAUUUUGUAUGUACCAUAUGAAUAAGGAUCGGCUAACUCCGUGCCAGCAGCCGCGGUAAUACGGAGGAUCCGAGCGUUAUCCGGAUUUAUUGGGUUUAAAGGGAGCGUAGGUGGAUUGUUAAGUCAGUUGUGAAAGUUUGCGGCUCAACCGUAAAAUUGCAGUUGAAACUGGCAGUCUUGAGUACAGUAGAGGUGGGCGGAAUUCGUGGUGUAGCGGUGAAAUGCUUAGAUAUCACGAAGAACUCCGAUUGCGAAGGCAGCUCACUAGACUGUCACUGACACUGAUGCUCGAAAGUGUGGGUAUCAAACAGGAUUAGAUACCCUGGUAGUCCACACAGUAAACGAUGAAUACUCGCUGUUUGCGAUAUACAGUAAGCGGCCAAGCGAAAGCAUUAAGUAUUCCACCUGGGGAGUACGCCGGCAACGGUGAAACUCAAAGGAAUUGACGGGGGCCCGCACAAGCGGAGGAACAUGUGGUUUAAUUCGAUGAUACGCGAGGAACCUUACCCGGGCUUAAAUUGCAACAGAAUAUAUUGGAAACAGUAUAGCCGUAAGGCUGUUGUGAAGGUGCUGCAUGGUUGUCGUCAGCUCGUGCCGUGAGGUGUCGGCUUAAGUGCCAUAACGAGCGCAACCCUUAUCUUUAGUUACUAACAGGUCAUGCUGAGGACUCUAGAGAGACUGCCGUCGUAAGAUGUGAGGAAGGUGGGGAUGACGUCAAAUCAGCACGGCCCUUACGUCCGGGGCUACACACGUGUUACAAUGGGGGGUACAGAAGGCGGCUACCUGGUGACAGGAUGCUAAUCCCAAAAACCUCUCUCAGUUCGGAUCGAAGUCUGCAACCCGACUUCGUGAAGCUGGAUUCGCUAGUAAUCGCGCAUCAGCCAUGGCGCGGUGAAUACGUUCCCGGGCCUUGUACACACCGCCCGUCAAGCCAUGAAAGCCGGGGGUACCUGAAGUACGUAACCGCAAGGAGCGUCCUAGGGUAAAACUGGUAAUUGGGGCU
rnacentral:rRNA from 1 species